rnacentral:rRNA from 1 species
CCCUUAGAUGUUCUGGGCCGCACACGCGCUACACUGGCAGGUUCAUCGAGCUUCAUGCCCUGAUCUGAGAAGAACGGGAAAUCUUUGAACACCUGCCGUGCUUGGGAUAGAUGUUUGCAAUUAUUCAUCUUCAACGAGGAUUGCCUUGUAAGCGCACGUCAUCAGCGUGCAUUGAAUACGACCCUGUAUUCUGUACACACCGCCCGUCGCUCCUACCGAUUGAAGUUUUCGGUGAAUUUACUGGAGAUCCCUUUUGAAGGUGGUUCGCCACUGAAAGAAGUAUUCAAAAGUAAAUGAAUCGAAUGCUUUAGAGGAAGGAGAAGUCGUAACA